UUUAAAGCUUCCAACUGGGAUUAGAUACCCCACUAUUCUUGAUUGUAAAUGCAAUUAAAUUUACCAGAGUACUAUGAAUAGUUAAAAAUUUAAAACUCAAAGGGCUUGGCGGUGUUUUAGACCUAUCAGGGGAACCUGUCUCGUAAUCGACAAUCCACGCAAUAUCUAACCCAACUUUGUUAAUCAGUUUGUAUACCGUCGUCGUCAGGUAACUUUUAAAAAUAUAGAAGUUAGCAAUUAAAACUUAUUAGUUAAAACGUCAGAUCAAGGUGCAGCCUAUGGUAGGGAGAGGAUGGGUUACAGUUAUAAAAUUUAUAAUUACGGAAAUUUAAAUGGAACUUAUUUUGAAGGAGGACUUGAAAGUAAACUAAAAUACAUAAACAGUUUGAAUGAGGCUCUGAAACGUGCACACACCGCCCGUCACCCUCCUGCAGUCAAAA
rnacentral:rRNA from 1 species